UUAAGCGACUAAGCGUACACGGUGGAUGCCCUGGCAGUCAGAGGCGAUGAAGGACGUGCUAAUCUGCGAUAAGCGUCGGUAAGGUGAUAUGAACCGUUAUAACCGGCGAUUUCCGAAUGGGGAAACCCAGUGUGAUUCGUCACACUAUCAUUAACUGAAUUCAUAGGUUAAUGAGGCGAACCGGGGGAACUGAAACAUCUAAGUACCCCGAGGAAAAGAAAUCAACCGAGAUUCCCCCAGUAGCGGCGAGCGAACGGGGAGGAGCCCAGAGCCUGAAUCAGUGUGUGUGUUAGUGGAAGCGUCUGGAAAGGCGCGCGAUACAGGGUGACAGCCCCGUACACAAAAAUGCACAUGCUGUGAGCUCGAUGAGUAGGGCGGGACACGUGGUAUCCUGUCUGAAUAUGGGGGGACCAUCCUCCAAGGCUAAAUACUCCUGACUGACCGAUAGUGAACCAGUACCGUGAGGGAAAGGCGAAAAGAACCCCGGCGAGGGGAGUGAAAAAGAACCUGAAACCGUGUACGUACAAGCAGUGGGAGCCUCUUAAUGGGGUGACUGCGUACCUUUUGUAUAAUGGGUCAGCGACUUAUAUUCUGUAGCAAGGUUAACCGAAUAGGGGAGCCGAAGGGAAACCGAGUCUUAACUGGGCGUUAAGUUGCAGGGUAUAGACCCGAAACCCGGUGAUCUAGCCAUGGGCAGGUUGAAGGUUGGGUAACACUAACUGGAGGACCGAACCGACUAAUGUUGAAAAAUUAGCGGAUGACUUGUGGCUGGGGGUGAAAGGCCAAUCAAACCGGGAGAUAGCUGGUUCUCCCCGAAAGCUAUUUAGGUAGCGCCUCGUGAAUUCAUCUCCGGGGGUAGAGCACUGUUUCGGCAAGGGGGUCAUCCCGACUUACCAACCCGAUGCAAACUGCGAAUACCGGAGAAUGUUAUCACGGGAGACACACGGCGGGUGCUAACGUCCGUCGUGAAGAGGGAAACAACCCAGACCGCCAGCUAAGGUCCCAAAGUCAUGGUUAAGUGGGAAACGAUGUGGGAAGGCCCAGACAGCCAGGAUGUUGGCUUAGAAGCAGCCAUCAUUUAAAGAAAGCGUAAUAGCUCACUGGUCGAGUCGGCCUGCGCGGAAGAUGUAACGGGGCUAAACCAUGCACCGAAGCUGCGGCAGCGACGCUUAUGCGUUGUUGGGUAGGGGAGCGUUCUGUAAGCCUGCGAAGGUGUACUGUGAGGUAUGCUGGAGGUAUCAGAAGUGCGAAUGCUGACAUAAGUAACGAUAAAGCGGGUGAAAAGCCCGCUCGCCGGAAGACCAAGGGUUCCUGUCCAACGUUAAUCGGGGCAGGGUGAGUCGACCCCUAAGGCGAGGCCGAAAGGCGUAGUCGAUGGGAAACAGGUUAAUAUUCCUGUACUUGGUGUUACUGCGAAGGGGGGACGGAGAAGGCUAUGUUGGCCGGGCGACGGUUGUCCCGGUUUAAGCGUGUAGGCUGGUUUUCCAGGCAAAUCCGGAAAAUCAAGGCUGAGGCGUGAUGACGAGGCACUACGGUGCUGAAGCAACAAAUGCCCUGCUUCCAGGAAAAGCCUCUAAGCAUCAGGUAACAUCAAAUCGUACCCCAAACCGACACAGGUGGUCAGGUAGAGAAUACCAAGGCGCUUGAGAGAACUCGGGUGAAGGAACUAGGCAAAAUGGUGCCGUAACUUCGGGAGAAGGCACGCUGAUAUGUAGGUGAAGUCCCUUGCGGAUGGAGCUGAAAUCAGUCGAAGAUACCAGCUGGCUGCAACUGUUUAUUAAAAACACAGCACUGUGCAAACACGAAAGUGGACGUAUACGGUGUGACGCCUGCCCGGUGCCGGAAGGUUAAUUGAUGGGGUUAGCGCAAGCGAAGCUCUUGAUCGAAGCCCCGGUAAACGGCGGCCGUAACUAUAACGGUCCUAAGGUAGCGAAAUUCCUUGUCGGGUAAGUUCCGACCUGCACGAAUGGCGUAAUGAUGGCCAGGCUGUCUCCACCCGAGACUCAGUGAAAUUGAACUCGCUGUGAAGAUGCAGUGUACCCGCGGCAAGACGGAAAGACCCCGUGAACCUUUACUAUAGCUUGACACUGAACAUUGAGCCUUGAUGUGUAGGAUAGGUGGGAGGCUUUGAAGUGUGGACGCCAGUCUGCAUGGAGCCGACCUUGAAAUACCACCCUUUAAUGUUUGAUGUUCUAACGUUGGCCCCUGAUCGGGGUUGCGGACAGUGUCUGGUGGGUAGUUUGACUGGGGCGGUCUCCUCCUAAAGAGUAACGGAGGAGCACGAAGGUUGGCUAAUCCUGGUCGGACAUCAGGAGGUUAGUGCAAUGGCAUAAGCCAGCUUGACUGCGAGCGUGACGGCGCGAGCAGGUGCGAAAGCAGGUCAUAGUGAUCCGGUGGUUCUGAAUGGAAGGGCCAUCGCUCAACGGAUAAAAGGUACUCCGGGGAUAACAGGCUGAUACCGCCCAAGAGUUCAUAUCGACGGCGGUGUUUGGCACCUCGAUGUCGGCUCAUCACAUCCUGGGGCUGAAGUAGGUCCCAAGGGUAUGGCUGUUCGCCAUUUAAAGUGGUACGCGAGCUGGGUUUAGAACGUCGUGAGACAGUUCGGUCCCUAUCUGCCGUGGGCGCUGGAGAACUGAGGGGGGCUGCUCCUAGUACGAGAGGACCGGAGUGGACGCAUCACUGGUGUUCGGGUUGUCAUGCCAAUGGCACUGCCCGGUAGCUAAAUGCGGAAGAGAUAAGUGCUGAAAGCAUCUAAGCACGAAACUUGCCCCGAGAUGAGUUCUCCCUGACUCCCUGAGAGUCCUGAAGGAACGUUGAAGACGACGACGUUGAUAGGCCGGGUGUGUAAGCGCAGCGAUGCGUUGAGCUAACCGGUACUAAUGAACCGUGAGGCUUAACCUU
rnacentral:rRNA from 1 species